AACGAACGCUGGCGGCGCGUCUUAAGCAUGCAAGUCGAACGGCAAGAUACCUUCGGGUAUCCUAGAGUGGCGGACUGGUGAGUAACGCGUGGAUGACGUACCCUCGUGACGGGGAUAGCCGGUAGAAAUACCGGGUAAUACCGGAUAAGGUCUUACGGAAUAAAGGCGUGAGAGGAAAGCAGCGUAUGCUGCGCAGGAGGAACGGUCUGCGGCCUAUCAGCUGGUUGGCAGGGUAAAGGCCUACCAAGGCGACGACGGGUAUCCGGCCUGAGAGGGUGGACGGACACAUUGGGACUGAGAUACGGCCCAGACUCCUACGGGAGGCAGCAGCUAAGAAUAUUCCGCAAUGGGGGGAACCCUGACGGAGCGACGCCGCGUGGACGAUGAAGGUCGGAAGAUUGUAAAGUCCUUUUAUACAUGAAGAAGAAGUUAUACAGGAAAUGGUAUGAUGGUGACGGUAGUGUAUGAAUAAGCACCGGCUAAUUACGUGC
rnacentral:rRNA from 1 species